rnacentral:rRNA from 1 species
GACGAACGCUGGCGGCGUGCCUAAUACAUGCAAGUUGAGCGCUGAAGGCUGGUACUUGUACCAACUGGAUGAGCAGCGAACGGGUGAGUAACGCGUGGGGAAUCUGCCUUUGAGCGGGGGACAACAUUUGGAAACGAAUGCUAAUACCGCAUAAAAACUUUAAACACAAGUUUUAAGAUUGAAAGAUGCAAUUGCAUCACUCAAAGAUGAUCCCGCGUUGUAUUAGCUAGUUGGUGAGGUAAAGGCUCACCAAGGCGAUGAUACAUAGCCGACCUGAGAGGGUGAUCGGCCACCUUGGGACUGGGACACGGCCCAAAACCCUACGGGAGGCAGCGGUAGGGAAUCUUCGGCAAUGGACGAAAGUCUGACCGAGAAACGCCGCGUGAGUGAAGAAGGUUUUCGGCUCGUAAAACUCUGUUGGUAGAGAAGAACGUUGGUGAGAGUGGAAAGCUCAGCAAGUGACGGUAACUACCCAGAAAGGGACGGCUAACUACGUG